rnacentral:rRNA from 1 species
AAAAGGAUUUAUUCGCUUCAGGAUGGACUCGCGUCCAAUUAGCUAGUUGGUGAGGUAACGGCCCACCAAGGCGACGAUUGGUAGCCGGACUGAGAGGUUGAACGGCCACAUUGGGACUGAGACACGGCCCAGACUCCUACGGGAGGCAGCAGUGGGGGAUAUUGCACAAUGGGGGAAACCCUGAUGCAGCGACGCCGCGUGGAGGAAGAAGGUUUUCGGAUUGUAAACUCCUGUCGUUAGGGACGAUAAUGACGGUACCUAACAAGAAAGCACCGGCUAACUACGUGCCAGCAGCCGCGGUAAAACGUAGGGUGCAAGCGUUGUCCGGAAUUACUGGGUGUAAAGGGAGCGCAGGCGGACCGGCAAGUUGGAAGUGAAAACUAUGGGCUCAACCCAUAAAUUGCUUUCAAAACUGCUGGCCUUGAGUAGUGCAGAGGUAGGUGGAAUUCCCGGUGUAGCGGUGGAAUGCGUAGAUAUCGGGAGGAACACCAGUGGCGAAGGCGACCUACUGGGCACCAACUGACGCUGAGGCUCGAAAGCAUGGGUAGCAAACAGGAUUAGAUACCCUGGUAGUCCAUGCCGUAAACGAUGAUUACUAGGUGUUGGAGGAUUGACCCCUUCAGUGCCGCAGUUAACACAAUAAGUAAUCCACCUGGGGAGUACGACCGCAAGGUUGAAACUCAAAGGAAUUGACGGGGGCCCGCACAAGCAGUGGAGUAUGUGGUUUAAUUCGAAGCAACGCGAAGAACCUUACCAGGUCUUGACAUCCGAUGCAUAGUGCAGAGAUGCAUGAAGUCCUUCGGGACAUCGAGACAGGUGGUGCAUGGUUGUCGUCAGCUCGUGUCGUGAGAUGUUGGGUUAAGUCCCGCAACGAGCGCAACCCUUAUUGCCAGUUACUACGAAAGAGGACUCUGGCGAGACUGCCGUUGACAAAACGGAGGAAGGUGGGGAUGACGUCAAAUCAUCAUGCCCUUUAUGACCUGGGCUACACACGUACUACAAUGGCGUUUAACAAAGAGAAGCAAGACCGCGAGGUGGAGCAAAACUCAAAAACAACGUCUCAGUUCAGAUUGCAGGCUGCAACUCGCCUGCAUGAAGUCGGAAUUGCUAGUAAUCGCGGAUCAGCAUGCCGCGGUGAAUACGUUCCCGGGCCUUGUACACACCGCCCGUCACACCAUGAGAGCCGGGGGGACCCGAAGUCGGUAGUCUAACCGCAAGGAGGACGCCGCCGAAGGUAAAACUGGUGAUUGGGGUGAAGUCGUAACAAGGUAGCCGUA